AUGGCGACCAAACUCAUGCCCGCCGUGUUGCUGGUGAUGCUAGAACUCUCCGCGGGGGCGGGGGCGCGCUCCGAUGAUUCGCCGUGUGCCUUCCCGGCGAUCUUCAACCUCGGUGACUCCAACUCGGACACGGGAGCCUUCCCAGCCCUCUUCCCGGCGGUGCAGCCGCCCUACGGCCGGACCUUCUUCGGCAUGCCGGCCGGGCGGCAAAGCGACGGACGCCUCACCAUCGACUUCAUGGCUGAAAGCCUGGGGCUACGUUACCUGAGUGCGUAUCUGGAUUCACUCGGGAGCAACUUCACGCAGGGAGCCAAUUUCGCCAGUGCCGCCGGAACCAUCAGACGGGUGAACGGGAGCUUGUGGACCUCCGGGUACAGCCCCAUUUCCUUGGACGUCCAGAUCUGGCAAUUGCAGCAGUUCAUCAACAGGAGCCAGUUCAUCUACAACAACAUAGGUGGAAUCUACCGGGAGAUCCUGCCGAACCCAGAGCACCUGGUCUCCAAGGCGCUUUACACCUUCGACAUCGGCCAGAACGACCUCACCGUGGGCUACUUCGACAACAUGACCACCGAGCAAGUCGCGGCCUACGUCCCCGAUCUAAUGGAGAGGAUCUCGUCCGCGAUCCAGGCCGUGUACGACCUUGGUGGGAGAUACUUCUGGGUGCACAACACGGCGCCGCUCGGGUGCCUGCCGUACGCCUUGGUCUUCCGCCCGGACCUCGCCGCGGAGAAGGACGCCGCCGGCUGCUCGGUCGCGCUCAACGCCGGCGCCCGGUUCUUCAACGCGCGGCUCAAGGAGACCGUGGCGAGGCUCAGGGCGACGCUCCCCGGCGCCGCCUUCACCUACGUUGACAUCUAUGCCGCCAAGUACAGGCUGAUAAGCCAGGCCAAGAAGCUCGGUUUCGGGGACCCCCUGCGCGUGUGCUGCGGGUACGGUGGCGGCGAGUACAACUUCGACAGGGACAUCCGGUGCGGCGAUAAGGUGCAGGCGAACGGCACGUCGGCGCUGGCGGGGAAGUCGUGCAAGGACCCGUCCAGGAGCGUGAGCUGGGACGGCGUGCACUUCACCGAGGCGGCCAACAAGUUCGUCUUCGAUCAGAUCGUGGAUGGCGCGCUCUCCGACCCUCCCGUGCCUCUGCGGCGGGCCUGCCAGGGCAAACGGCAAUGA
rnacentral:rRNA from 1 species